GUUCAGCCGUUCCACUCCUGGGAGCUAAUAAUCUACUCGGAGGCAGAAAGCCUUCAUAGGAAACAGGUCACAAGGCACGGCAUUACAGAAUUUCAGGACCGCAGAAUCUGUGCCCUGGAGCAGCCAAGCAGUCCUUGACAGUGGCAUCUCCUUAGACACACAGCUGGGUUCCCAGAAAGCCAUCGUCUGGCCUCUCUCCCUAGACUGGUGAGUUUCUCUGUGCCUAAGCUUUCUUCUUUGCAAAGCUAGGUUUACUUGUACGGAUUUUACGCUUGAUAAGAGAAUGGUCAGGCAGAGGGAGACAAACUGUAGCUUCAAGAGGACAGAGUGCCUCCUCACUGACCAGGGAAGAUGUGGCUGGUUUAUGGAAGAAGAAUCUCAUGGGCGGACAAAUGCUCGAAGCUCACCGACAGGACCCACCACCAAGGGAUUAGAAAGGACUGCACAUGGCCCCUGACAUAAAGAGGCUUAUUUGUCUAGAGGACCUCAUCUGUCAAAGUGAGCUGGGAGAGGCCAUCCGAGAAUCACAGUGUUUUGCCAGGUGUUAAGGAAGCACUAGGUCCUGAUCCUAGGUUGCAGUCCUGUUUGUGGGGCUCCCCUGCUUCCGGCGCUCCCCUGCUUUGGAGAUUUCUUUCUUUCUCGUUUCAUCCUCUGUAAGGACAAAGACAAAGACCUGGCUUCAGGGUCCUGCCACACACGAGCUGUGCAGCCGUUUGUGAGAUUUCAAGUUUGCUUGUGCUCAGCCUUUUCAUUUUCAUAAACGAGAAAAAUAAGACCUGCUUUUAAAUGCUUCUGGCCUCAGGUCUAAAUGGAAGCCAGCAUAGCAUGCCUAUCAUAGCAGAGAGUGAUUGGUCAAUGUCCACCAUGUUCACAUAGGUGAUUUGACUCUGGUAUGGCAUCUGGGGCGAGUGGUGACUCUUAGUAGCUGGUCUUGAAAUUCAUUUCAGGAUAGGUACUGUCCACUUUGUUCAAGAGUUGGGGUAGCACUGAUCUCUGAGAAGCUGAAUCUGAAGAAGAGUCUAGCCAAGGGAUCUUGGCUUUCUCCAAAGUUCAUGGACUUAGGCUAGCAGACCCUGAACACUCAUGCUGUGGCCAGGGGCAGCAAUAAUGACUGCCUGGGCCCAUAUUACUUCUUCUCUUCUGCCACUGGCCUGAACCAAUACAACCAAUUGUUCCACUCUUCCAUUUGGUAACCUGGAAACUUCUGAAGAUCUAUGACAACCGCAUUGCCAUUUCUGAGGAGAAAAUGAACAAAAAGACAGCUAUGUGGCAGAGGCAAGGAUCAGGCAAGUCUCCAAAAUUUGGCAGAAAGGGUUGGGGUUUGAAAGACAAAUGUAACUAGAAAAAGAACUUGUUCUUCCUCCUUCUACCCCCAUCCCCACAACCACCCCAUCUCUGGGAUUCUAUUUCCAAGAUAUUUAAUUUUGAAAACUUAAACAAGAAAGUGGUUUUAAUCUUCAAGGGCUCUCAUUAAUCACCGUGCCUGGCCCAGUGGAGAGAGAGAGAGAUGACUCACUUUUACAGUUGAUUUCGUGGUAAUGGAGGGUCAAGGCCUGCCCCUACACUGCCCCUUUGUCGAGCUAAUGGAGAAAGCUCUCACUGAGGAAGCACCCAUUCUGGAGCAAUUUUUCAAUGGAAAAUUGCUGACAGGAAUAGCCACCGACAAGAAAAGAUUUCUCUUAGGGAAACAAAGUAAGUGGCUCGGCAGAAUUAGAAACACAGAGCCUGCCUUGAAGAGUUGUGGGGUUCAAUGGCAGGAUAGAGCAAAGGAAAGGCUUUGGUGUGUGCCAUAUUAAGUAUCUCUGCAAUAAAUAAUGAAUCUUUACUACAGCCCUUCUUGGUGCCAGGCACUGUGCUGGGGACCUUUUCUAUGUCAUUGUUUGAUCCUUAUAUAUUAUGUGACAGGUGACAUCAUGUCCCCUCAUUUACGGAUACAAAUUCUGACAUGCAUGCCAAAUGACUUGUUCUAUAAAUGACUUUUCUCAUUGAUAUAAUAAAAGACCCAACGAAAGCAA
rnacentral:lncRNA from 1 species